rnacentral:snoRNA from 1 species
CACAGUACUGACAAAUUGAUGGGCUUGAUAAUUAAGACGCUCAGUCAGUUUUUAUUUAAAACGCUGUAAGACGAAUGAAAGCGUCGGCUUACGCUAUGUUAUGCGAAUGUAAAAACUAUAAAUCCAAUUCUGUGUAACACGCAGCCUCGUUACAAUU